rnacentral:sRNA from 1 species
AGAUGAAAAGUUGACCGAGGGGCC